ACACCAGAGCGUGUGCGAAAUAACUGAUUUCUUAAAAAGUUGCUUUGAUUCAGUUGGUUCCCAUGAGCAUUAGUAAGUUGCCCUUUAUAAAAUAAGGAUCACAUCUUGUUUUACAACAGAGUUUGCUUACAAAUGUCUAUUGGAUUCUUUCCAAGUCUCUUAAUUUACAAAUAACCAGGAUAAUGAUUCCCCCCACUCUGUCCCACCUUUUUUACAGAGAUACAAAGCAGAAGUUGGUUUUCUCAUAUGCGGAUGAAAGCAUGAAAUAUAAAGUAAUAAGUUUACAUAGUGUUACUGUCGCAAUGCUUUGGUUAAAUGUUGAUAUAAAGCAAGUUUUAGGAAUUCUUUUAAAUGAUGAAGUAAUGGUGGUGGAAAGAAAUUAGUAACAGAAAGAGUGAAAAUCUUUUCAUUAGCUGUAGGUGGUGCUACUGGCUUUUAUUUGCUGGCUUGAUUAUUCUGUUUCCCACAAAAACCAUGGCAUUAGUAAAACAGUAAGUAUGUGUUAGGUGGUAGAGGCUUUGGAGGUCAGUUUACCUUAAAUUGAAAGAUUUUAGAUAGCUGUUUCUUCCUACCUUUGCUUGUUAUUUGUAAAUGCUAAAUGGUCAGCAUAAAACUAGAUGGGAGAAGAAAUGUUUAGAGUAUAAUAAAUAUGUCUCAGACUGAGUUACUGCCUGGCUUAUCAGGAAAGAAAGCACUACAAUCUCUUCAGGAAUUACAGAUAAUGCGCAUAUUUAUAUUUUACAUGUAAUCACCAUACUCCAUUUU
rnacentral:lncRNA from 1 species